rnacentral:lncRNA from 1 species
AACAUCACCAUAACCUAAUAUGUCUCAACCCCAUCAGCUCAAGCGAAAUCUGUCUCCUUUAUUUCCGAAUUUGUGUAAGUUGUUUUCGUUUAGACUCUCUCUAUUCAUCGUUGAUUCUAUCCUUAGAUAUGUUGAUAACAUUCAUUUUGUAUGUGUUUACAUACUGAUUUGCUUUAAUUGGAAUGUAUAUUAUCUGAUAAUCAAACUUAUUUAAUUAGAAUAUAUAUUAUCCGAUAAUCAAACUUUAUAAAUUUAAUUUACAGUCCAUUUAUUUGUGUAUUUAUGCUACUACUGUCCAACUAACAGUUUACAAUCAUUUUGACUAAGCCAAAGUGUACUCACAUAACAAGAAACAUUUGAUGCUUAAUGAACAUAACUUCUUUAUUCUUAAUUUAAACCAAUUUAUUCCAAAAUGUGUUUUAAUAAUAAAACUAUUCAACUAUUUUUGAAUUGUACUAAAUCCAUUAAUUAAUUUUUAAUGUUUUAAACUUUCAUUUACAAAUCGUUAAUGGAUGUAGACACAUUAAAAAUUUGUAAGUUGAGGGAUUACAACAUUAGAAAAAUAAUUAAUGAUUUUUUUUUACAAUUCAAAAAUAGUUGAAGGGUUUUAUCACUAAAAUCUCUUAUUUAAUUUAGAUUUAGGAAAUUAUUUGUCAAAAUAGGAAAAACAAAAAUUGAUUAAAUUUAGGUUUAGUUAUUACUUCAGUGGCUUAGAUCUGUAAAUAAGUUGCAAGUCUUAGGGUUAAUUCCAAAUAGUACUUCAGUUUUAAUAGUAUUGAUUGCCUAGCAAAAUGUGAAAUUCAACUUCUACUAUGAAUUAAAAAGCCAAAGAGAAACAAUGUUCAACACAGUAAGAAAAUGUUCCAUGGAAUCAUUACAUGGCUGAUUUAAAUGAUGUAAUUGGCUAAAAAAUUUAUGCUGAUGUGGACACUGUAAUGAUAAUACAGUAAAAAUUCAAUAAAUUAAUAUUCGAUAAAUUAAUAAACAUCAUAAUAAUAGAUCUUUCUGGUUUCAAGUGGAACCGAAUCAAAAUAUGACACAAAUCGAUAAGAUAGUAAGAUAAUAUUUUUAAAUUUUAUGUGUAUAUAUUUAUUUUCGAUCGUUAAUAAUAUUAUACACAAAAAUGAUAUAUGGUAUAGGAUUCUCUUGGUUUAAAAUUUGCUUGAAACUAAAUCAAAAAUACGUGUAAAUUAAGGUAAUAACCAAAAUCAAUGGUAAUCAUACAUACCAUAGAAAUUGUAUGUAAUCGUGUAAUUUUUUUUUUGAAAUUGGUAUCCAUACCAUUAAGAUUUGCAGAAAUGUCCACUGGUUAGAAAGUAUGGGGAUUAAACCCAUAAGGCCGAUUUGAUUUGUAUGUCCACAAGCCUGAUUUGCUUUUUAAAAAAACUGCAAAAAUAAUUAGUUGGUGACUAAAUUCAUAAACCCGAUUUAAUUUGUAGUGUUAAAUAUAUAGUUGUAAUUAUAUAAGCCAAAAAAUAAAAUUAAAACGUAAUGGAUGUUUUGCCGUUAAUAAGUGUUUAGUUCUCUUAGAAAUAGUAAUGGCAUAUUUGAAAAAAAAAUAGUAUUUCAUUAAAAGUAUACUUAUUACCUAACUAAAUAUAAUUUUGUUUAUAACUAUUUCAUUUAAUACUCUUUCAGUUUCUGAAUAAGUGUCACUUUGACAAUUUUCACAUAGACUAAAAAAAUAGCGGAAAUCUACGUAAAUUAUUAUUAAUUAAAUCUUUCUGACCAAUAAUAUUUGAGAUAAAUAAAAUUAUUUAUAAAACCAAUGCUGGUAAAAGAAUGUACAAAUCCAACUCCAAUAUAUAACAAGAACAAACAUUCUUGGUGAAAGAUUAAACAAAUAUGUAAACAAGUUUUCUUCCCUAUUUGAAUCUUUUCCAAAACAACCAUUUACCAUAAUCAGAGAGUCAGUAUAACACAUUGAGUAGCUGCCGUUGCUUCGCUUCAUCUGAGCGUAGUGAGUAGAUAUCCGAUGGAGCUGUGAUGCCUCCUUGCUGGAUCAGUUUACCAUUCUUCGGUUUGUGUUGAUCGAGAUAAACAACAACGACGCUUAUGUCGUCAUGGAAAUGUCUUCGAACCCCUCUGGCGAUUUUCUUCAUAUCUCCAUAUCUCAUUUCUCUCUUCUUUGCAGCUUCCUCGAGAGCUGCUCUUACAAGUCUUCGUGCGAUUCCCUGUAGACCACAGAGAGUUAGAAAUCUAAAAAGUAGCUGACACAAAAGAGAAAAGCUUUUGAGUUUAGGAUGGCAAACUUACAGCUCUUGGGUGUUUGAGUACAAUCUCUACGGCUGCUUCGUCACUAAGAUGUUCCCAGAGACCAUCUGAUGCAAAUAUGAUAAACAAGUCCUGUGGCUUAAGCUUCCUUACUAUAAUGGAGGGUUCAGCUGUCAUCGCAGGUCUCCUCAAAGGAAUGGGGUUUCCAUGUUGCUGAAAAACCGGAUCCCUGUAAAACUCAGGCUUCUUCAAGUAUACAUCCCCAAUUGAUCUCGAUACCUAUAAAGAAGCACAUAGAUAAACGAUUUAGUUAACUACAUACAACGAGCUCAACAUUCAUGGAAAGGUCAUCAACAACCACAAAACAUAUCUCUUCAUUAUCAUGUAGACCUCUGACUACACUGGGAAAGAAACGUUGCAGGAGCCCCUGUGAAGGAUUCCUGGAACAUUACAAGCCCCCAUUUAUAUCAAACUUAAGUUACUCAAAACAGAGAAUACACACUAUCACACUACACCUUCUAUGCAUAGAAACUAACAUAUCACACAAACAAGCAAGGAAGCAAAAGCUCUAAGUAACAUACCUGAAUAAUGCCUUUAAUCCUCCAAACUCCACGAAUAUACAUAACAAUCUGCGAAUCAUCAGGGUUAAGCGCCUUAACCUCCUUCCUCACUUCUUCAACAGCAACGUUAUGAUCAGUAGAUAACCGUUCAGCUACAGCAACCCCUGAAACAACUCUCCCAAGAACAGCUCUCGAGUCUCCAAGAUUCGCAACAUACAGUGUACCAUUAGUUAUAGCACCAAAGAGACAACAAGUCCCCACAGUAGCCAUCUGCGGUUUCAACGGUAAGGAUCGUUGAACCAUAUGGCAAAAGUCCUCCUCAGUUUCUUUAAACGCUCUUUUAAUCACAUCUGGAGAUAUUCCUCCUUCUUCUUUAGCGAACUCUGCAAAUUUUUUUUUUUUUUGAAUGAAUGUUAAAUUUAUUCAUCAAAAAAACCCUUCUUACAACAAGUGUGACGUUAGUUUAUAUUGUUUAAACUCAUAACUCCUCUGCAAAUUUACAUAACAAAGAUCAGAUUUUUUUUUUUUUUAAGCAAAGUUUGAAUCUUGGAAUGAUGAGAAGAUGUGAUUACUGUGGAUAUGAGGGAAGAGAUGUCUGUUAACGAAUCUAGAAGCUUCGGGUCCGCCAUGGCCGUCGUAGACUCCGACGUAAGUGGCGGAGGAGGAUGUGAAGACCUGACUCUGAUCCUCUAGUCUCGAAUUGGCUUGAACCACCGCGAUCGAAUACUCUCCGCCGGCGUGCGGUCUCAGCUCCGAUUGCCAGAGUAAAUUAUCGCCGCUCGCUCUGCUUCCUGGGCACCACCGCUCGAGAGGCCGUACUAAAGCUCGCAACAUCACUUACUGUUAGGGUUUUAGCUGAGAGUGAAAUUGAAAUUGAAAUUGAAAACGGUUUGAUUAUUCGACGAAUGUUUGAUCUGAUAGGCUUUUUAAGAGAAUGUGUGUUGAGUUGGUGAGAGACAACCGCGUGAAGAAGAAGAUGAAGAAUAGUAUGAGAGAUGAUGACUUUGGACUCUGCCGUUCCUUAUAUACGUCCGUAGACUACGCGUCGUUUUCCUUCUUUGCCGUGCUUUUUCAAUCCUUUUUUAUUUAUUCAACGCGUUCUUUAUUUAUUUUCCACCUCCAUUUGACAACUUUUCACUUGGAAAAAAAAACAAAGUUUUGGGCGGACAAAAAAAAACAUAAACGUCAUUUUUCUUGAUAUUUUAAUAAAUAUCUUUUUUUAGUGUCCGAAUGGAGGAGCGGGACAAGUGCAGAUCUCCUGCACAUGCAGUUCUCCCGCUCUACAUUCACCAUUUUCUAUUUACAAAAGCAGUUCAAACAGGAGAUUUACAUGCAGUUCAAUAUUUUUUGUCUUUUUGUAAAAAAAAGCAGAUCUCACCCGCCAACAUUUGGUGGUGUUGAUCUGCUUUUUUUUUUGAUCAAUAAAUAACUUUGUUGCAAUACAUAACUUUAAAAAUAUAUUUAUCUACUUUUAUGAAUACUAUAUUUUUAUUUUAUUUUAUUUACAACUUUAACAAUACAAAAUUAUCAUUCUCUACUUAUUAUUUUUUAUCAUAUAAUUUUUAAUUUUUAUAAAUAAGAAAAUAAAAGAAAUAUAAAUAUCUUAUAAAACAUGUACAGGCAUUUCGGCCGAUCUUAUAACAUCUAAGAUAUUUGUUUAGAUAUCUAAGUGUCAUUUUUAUUGUUUUAAUAUAUGAUCUAUAGUUUUAAACUGAUUUUGUCAUUCAUAAGUUAUAAUAAAUUAUUUGAUCUGGUUUUCUCCUGCAUGAUCCGCUUGAUCUGCACUUGUCCCGCUUGAUCUGCACUUGUCCUGCUUGAUCUGCAUGAUCUGUUUGAUCUGUCCUGUUUGAACUGCUUUUACCAUUCGAAGCCUAAGAAGUGGUCCAACCAAAAUAUCUACUCUGAUUCAUCAUCAAUUUUCCAUCUGCAAAUCAACAGCUGCUAGUAUAUAUUGUACAGAAAUAUAUACAUAUCUAUAAUGUUUUAUUUUAGAGUAACAUACUUACGUUUAUAUGAAAUUUACGCCGUCAAUGUUCAAAGGUUAUUUAUAUAAAAAACAUGCCUUUGUA